UAUUCGUUGAAAAAUUGUAUAUUAAAUACGCCAACUAAAGUCAACUAUUUUUUGCGUAAUUUUUUGAAAUAUAUUCUUCCAUACUUUUGGAAGGAACUGCAGUUUAUAGAGAGAUAUAUUGACGUGUCUACUGGUCAGUUAGCUACAUCAUUUUUAUGUCCGACUCAUCUGAAAGAGACGUUUAUUAAAGGAGAUACUAACAGCGACUUAAGUAGUGAUAGAAAGCAGAACAAUGCGAAUACUUUAUCUAAAGUAACUCCUGCUAAUAUAUUUUAUUACAUGAAUGAAAUAAAAAAAAAAAACAAACUUAAAAAGAUUGAAUCAUAUAUGAAUAAUAAUUUAACUUUAUAUGAUAUGAUUCAAUUUGUUAUAACUUUAUUAAAAACUACAUAUUCAUUAGAUAUGGUUUAUGUGAAACCACUGAAAAAUGAACUAUGGAAUGAAUAUAUUUUAAAAUUUGAAAUAAAAAGUAAUAAAUAUACUUAUGGUUAUAUAUAUAUGGACUUAUUUGAGAGAGAGAAUAAAAGUCAAGCUAUUGCUCAAUACACAGUCAGAUGCUCGAAAAAUAUGAAUAUGAGUUUGAAAUAUAAAUGGUUUGAAGAAUAUUCUGAUGUGGUUCCUUUUUUUUACUCGGGCGUUGUAAAAACUGAAAUAGAUAAAAGUAUGAACACAGAUGAAUUAAUAUAUAGAAACGAUUUUGACACAAGUAACACGAACAAAUUCGAUGGAAAAAAAGAUACGCUAUAUAGACAGACGACUUCAACAUUUUUGGUUUGCAAUUUUGGCUUAGAUGGUUGCAUAAAUAAUUGCGACAGUGAUAGUGGUAGGGUUAGAAAAAAAAAAAAAAAAACUAAUGAUAAAAUAAUGUACUUUUUAAAAAAUAUAAAAAUGAGCAUUGAUAAGGUAAGCAUGUUCCUUCACGAAUUUGGCCAUACCCUACACUGUAUAUUAAGUAGCACAUAUCUACAACACUUGUCUGGUAACAGAAGUGGAAUCGAUUUUUCAGAAUUCUCUUCGCACUUUUUUGAAGAGUACUUAAAUAGUUAUGAAGCAUUAUUAUUGUUGUAUUGCAACAGCAAGUCGCAUGAGUAUAAGAAGCAAUAUAAUAAGCAGGAUAAUAAGCAGGAUAAGAAAAUGCAGGAAGAACCGAGGGAAUAUGAACUGUCACCCGAAACAAAUAUAUCCGAAGUGUUAUCAAACUAUGUACAAAAUGAAAACAGUUAAUAGAAAACGAAAUAAAUAACUAUUUUACGGGUUUGUAUUAUAAA
rnacentral:lncRNA from 1 species